UACGUAGGUGGCGAGCGUUGUCCGGAAUUACUGGGUGUAAAGGGCGUGUAGGCGGGAAGAUAAGUCAGAUGUGAAAUUCCAUGGCUCAACUGUGGCGCUGCAUCUGAAACUAUUUUUCUUGAGUGAUGGAGAGGAAAGCGGAAUUCCUAGUGUAGCGGUGAAAUGCGUAGAUAUUAGGAGGAACACCAGUGGCGAAGGCGGCUUUCUGGACAUUAACUGACGCUGAGGCGCGAAAGCGUGGGGAGCAAACAGG
rnacentral:rRNA from 1 species